rnacentral:rRNA from 1 species
AGUGAACGCUGGCGGUAUGCCUAACACAUGCAAGUCGAACGAGUGGCGGACGGGUGAGUAAUACAUCGUAAUCUACUCUGUCGUGGGGGAUCACGUAGGGAAACUUACUCUAAUUCCGCAUACUAUUGAAUGAGCCGAUGUCGGAUUAGCUAGUUUGCGGGGUAAAGGCUCCCAAAGGCGGCGAUCCGUAGCUGGGCUGAGAGUAUGAUCAGCCACACUGGAACUGAGACACGAUCCAGACUCCAACGUGAGGCAGCAGUGGGGAAUAUUGGACAAUGGGCGCAAGCCUGAUCCAGCCAUACCGCGUGGGUGAAGAAGGCCUUCGGGUUGUAAAGCCCUUUUGUUGGGAAAGCGGUACCCAAAGAUUAAGCACCGGCUAACUUCGUGCCAGCAGCCGCGGUAAUUC